rnacentral:snoRNA from 1 species
AAACCAUGCAUCGAGCAUUUUCUAUUUAAUUCCUUGAAACGCUCCCAUGCUUCGAAUAAUGUCUCCUCUUUAGAUUUCCUGAACAAUGUAAUGUUAUUCCUUAACUU